rnacentral:tRNA from 14 species
GGCGACAUAGCCAAGUGGUAAGGCAUGGGCCUGCAAAGCCUUGAUUCCCCAGUUCGAAUCUGGGUGUCGCCUCCA